GGCGGCGUGCCUAAUACAUGCAAGUCGAGCGAGCGGAACUAACAGAUUUACUUCGGUAAUGACGUUAGGAAAGCGAGCGGCGGAUGGGUGAGUAACACGUGGGGAACCUGCCCCAUAGUCUGGGAUACCACUUGGAAACAGGUGCUAAUACCGGAUAAGAAAGCAGAUCGCAUGAUCAGCUUUUAAACGGCGGCGUAAGCUGUCGCUAUGGGAUGGCCCCGCGGUGCAUUAGCUAAUUAGUAAGGUAAAGGCUUACCAAGGCGAUGAUGCAUAGCCGAGUUGAGAGACUGAUCGGCCACAUUGGGACUGACACACGGCCCAAACUCCUACGGGAGGCAGCAGUAGGGAAUCUUCCACAAUGGACGCAAGUCUGAUGGAGCAACGCCGCGUGAGUGAAGAAGGUUUUCGGAUCGUAAAGCUCUGUUGUUGGUGAAGAAGGAUAGAGGUAGUAACUGGCCUUUAUUUGACGGUAAUCAACCAGAAAGUCACGGCUAACUACGUGCCAGCAGCCGCGGUAAUACGUAGGUGGCAAGCGUUGUCCGGAUUUAUUGGGCGUAAAGCGAGCGCAUGCGGAAGAAUAAGUCUGAUGUGAAAGCCCUCGGCUUAACCGAGGAACUGCAUCGGAAACUGUUUUUCUUGAGUGCAGAAGAGGAGAGUGGAACUCCAUGUGUAGCGGUGGAAUGCGUAGAUAUAUGGAAGAACACCAGUGGCGAAGGCGGCUCUCUGGUCUGCAACUGACGCUGAGGCUCGAAAGCAUGGGUAGCGAACAGGAUUAGAUACCCUGGUAGUCCAUGCCGUAAACGAUGAGUGCUAAGUGUUGGGAGGUUUCCGCCUCUCAGUGCUGCAGCUAACGCAUUAAGCACUCCGCCUGGGGAGUACGACCGCAAGGUUGAAACUCAAAGGAAUUGACGGGGGCCCGCACAAGCGGUGGAGCAUGUGGUUUAAUUCGAAGCAACGCGAAGAACCUUACCAGGUCUUGACAUCUAGUGUCAUUUGUAGAGAUACAAAGUUCCCUUCGGGGACGCUAAGACAGGUGGUGCAUGGCUGUCGUCAGCUCGUGUCGUGAGAUGUUGGGUUAAGUCCCGCAACGAGCGCAACCCUUGUUAUUAGUUGCCAGCAUUAAGUUGGGCACUCUAAUGAGACUGCCGGUGACAAACCGGAGGAAGGUGGGGAUGACGUCAAGUCAUCAUGCCCCUUAUGACCUGGGCUACACACGUGCUACAAUGGGCAGUACAACGAGAAGCGAGCCUGCGAAGGCAAGCGAAUCUCUGAAAGCUGUUCUCAGUUCGGACUGCAGUCUGCAACUCGACUGCACGAAGCUGGAAUCGCUAGUAAUCGCGGAUCAGCACGCCGCGGUGAAUACGUUCCCGGGCCUUGUACACACCGCCCGUCACACCAUGGGAGUCUGCAAUGCCCAAAGCCGGUGGCCUAACCUUCGGGAAGGAGCCGUCUAAGGCAGGGCAGAUGACUGGGGUGAAGUC
rnacentral:rRNA from 1 species